ACUUCCUUUUAAUCUUUUAGGUCUCAGCUCAAACGUCACCUCCUCAAAAUGGCUUGCUAGGACUGUCCCUGUCAUCCUUUAUCAUUUACAAAAUCCUUUAUGACUCAUUUAUUGCAUCCACUUCUUUACUUCCAACAUCACCUUCCCAUCAUUUAUUGUGUCACCUUUAUUUCCUUUAUAGAGCUUACAAUAAUUUGUAUUAAUUUGGAUUAAAUACUGGAAUGUGGGCAUGUUUGUUAUUUACUGUCUGUCUCCCCCACUGACUGUAAGUUGCCAAGAGCAGGGAAUUCAGAGUCUUAUUCACAGCUGUAUCCUCAGAAUCCAUCAUGGGCCUGAGACUUAGUAGGUGCUCAAUAAACAUUAGUAGAAUGAAUGAAUACUCAUUAGUUUGGAUGGUACAAUUGUGACUAUGGUACUCCAAGAGAAGACUGAUAUGGUAGUCCCCUAUUAUCUGCCGUUUUGCUUUCUGCGGUUUCAAUUACUUGCAGUCUGAAAAUAUUAAAUAGAAAUUUCCAGAAGUAAACAACUCAUAAGUUUUAAUUUGCUCACCUAUUCUGAGUAGCUUGAUGAAAUCUCCCACCCACCCGGGACGUGAAUCAUCUCUUUGUCCAGUAUUUUCACACUGUACCGGAUACCUGCCUAUUAGUCACUUUAGUAGCUGUCUUGGUUAUCAGAUCGACUGCCGCGCUAUCCUAGUGUGCGGGCUUGAAAAAGCUUUAUUUUGCUUCUUAAUGGUUCCAAAGCACAGAGUAGCGAUACUGGCAAGUCAGAUAUGCCAAAGAGAAGCUGUAAAGUGCUUCCUUAAAGUGAAAACACAAAAGUUCUCAACUUAAUACAGAAAGAAAAAAGACUUAUAGGCUGAGGUUGCUAAUGUCUAUUGUAAGAACCAAUCUUUUAGUGGUGAAAUUAUGAAGAAGCAAAGAGAGAUUUGUGCAGGGUAUAUAUAAGGUUUGGUACCAUCCUUGGUUUCAGGCAUUCAGUCUUGGGGGUCUUGGAACGUACAUAGCCCCUCAGAUAGGGAGGAAUACUGUAUUUGACUUUCUUAGUUUCAUCUGUUAUCAACAGUAGAAAAAUAAAGCUAUGAAAAAAAUAUAUAUUGUCUCAUUUGGGAACAAACUUUGCAAGACUGGCAGUGGGAUUCUGUCUGUUAAAUCAGCAAAAAGGAGCAGCCUCGCACGCGGGGAGCAACCUGCUCAUGCCACUGUCUUCUUGGGUCCACAGCUGCUACCUUCUCCCUGCCCCUUAUCCUGCCAAAGGCCUGGGGUGGACAGGACCCAACCCUCACACUGCUCAGAGCCUUAGGGACAUGUCUAGAGCCUCUGGUUUAACUUAAAAACAAAAACAAGGCUGAAGUGAGAGCCAGUUGGUUACUAGGCUGGAGAAAUGUAUGGAAGAGUGAAGACUGUAUGGGAGCCUUUGGGUAUCUCUGAAGGUUUUGUUGGAGUCAUUCGAGCUGAUAUCCCCUCAGUAUUGAGGAUAUUAACAAUAACACCAGCCGGGCAUGGUGGCUCAUGCCUGUAAUCCCAGCACUCUGGGAGGCCGAGGUGAGUGGAUCACGAGGUCAAGAGAUCAAGACCAUCCUGGUCAACAUGGUGAAACUCUGUCUGUACUAAAAAUACAAAAAUUAGCCGGGCAUGGUGGUGCGCACCUGUAGUCCCAGCUACUCGGGAGGCUGAGGCAGGAGAAUCGCUUGAACCCAGGAGGCAGAGGUUGCAGUGAGCCGAGAUUGUGCCACUGCAUUCCAGCCCGAUGAGAGAGUGAGACUCCAUCUCAAAAAACAAAAACAAAACAAAAAUAACACCAAGGAUAUUAAUAAUAGUACCAAUAAUAAUUUAUUCGAACUGCGCAGCGUGUGCCAGGACUUGCAACCAUUUCACAAGUGUGACCCGGUUGAAUCCUCAAGACAGAUCUAUGAGGUUGGUGUGCUUAUCCCUACAGCACCAGAGACUGACUUCGCUGAGGCCAGAUGCAGCAGAUAUCCAUCGAGAUCAUACAGCUGGUGUGCUCAAAGCCCCACCAACCUCAUCACCAUGCUUGCGUUCCUACAGCAUCAUGCCUCCUCCCAUUUGGGAAUUUCUGUGCUCUGGGUCUGGGUGUCAGUGCUAAAUGACCCAGCAGGAGGAGUGUGUCAGUACUUCCGAGGAUGCCCAGGCUCCACCAAGUUUCCUGAUCCAUGCUCUCAGGGAAAUACUAGGUUACUUUAAUGUUCUCCCAAAGCCUGUUCUCUCAUUCUUUCCUGUCUUAGUAAAGGGCACUGCCGAAUCUCUGGAAAUUAUCCUAACUUGCUUUUAACAUGUAGUAGUCGUCCUUGAAAAUCCAUUUCCCUUGCAUAUGACAAAUCAACAGGUCCUAUAGCCCCUGUAACCUUUUGCUAAAAUGUAUCCCCAAUGCACCGACUUCACCCUGUCUAAGCCACUAUCACUUUCAACUGACCUGCGAAAAAAAGCUCCUUGAUUCCAUAUUGGCCAUCUUUAGAAUGCAACUGUGAAAAACUUAUAAAAAUAUCAAUCCAUACAGCAACUGGAAAAACCUUUCAAAAAUAUCAAUCUGGAGGCCGGGCGCAGUGGCUCACACCUGUAAUCUUGGCACUUUGGGAGGCCAAGGCAGCUGGAUCACCUGAGGUCGGGAGUUCAACACCAGCCUGAUGAACAUGGAGAAACCCCGUCUCUACUAAAAAUACAAAAAUUAGCCAGGUGUGGCGGUGGGCGCCUGUAAUCCCCGCUACUCCGGAGGCUGAGGCAGGAGAAUCGCUUGAACCCAGGAGGCAGAGGUUGCAAUGAGCCAAGAUCAUGCCAUUGCACUCCAGCCUGGGCAAUAAGCGCAAAACUCCAUCUCAAAAAAAAAAAAAAAA
rnacentral:lncRNA from 1 species